UUUCUUCAGGCUGAGUAAUCAGUUUAAUUGCCAGUUCGCCACAUCUCACUGCUCGUAAAUGCCUCAACAUAAAAGCAACAUAAUUAAACAAAGCAGACAAUUGCAAAAUGCGAACGAUUAAUUAGUAAAAACAAAUAAAGAAUUAAAAUGUAAAAGACAAUAUAUUUCACAAUACACAGACAAUUUAUUUUUAUUUCACCAUAACUAUUAACUACCAUAUGAAUUAUAAGAACAAGAAAGAACAAAAAGAAAAUUUAUGGAAUUAUUUUUACAAUGACAGAGAAGUGCGAGGAGCUUGGCGAUUGCAGGCUUCGAAGAGUCGGUGACCAAGGUUAGAAGCAGAGAGAGAUGAGAGGUGGGAGUAGGCGCGAGUAGGCCAGUGGUGGGGCAACGAUUGUGGCGUGGCGGCGAUAGAAAGAAAUUAGGGCAGAGAGGAGUGAAAAAAGAAAAGAAAAAACGUUAACCUAAAAAGAAG
rnacentral:lncRNA from 1 species